rnacentral:rRNA from 1 species
UGAGUAACGAUAAUGCGGGUGAAAAACCUGCUCGCCGGAAGUCCAAGGUUUCCUGCGCCACGCUAAUCGGCGCAGGGUGAGUCGGCCCCUAAGGUGAGGCAGAAAUGCGUAGUCGAUGGGAGACAGGUUAAUAUUCCUGUACUUGGUGAUAUUGUGAAGGGAUGACGGAGAAGGCUAAAUUGGCCGGGUGUUGGAAGUCCCGGUUUAAGCAUGUAGGAAGAGGUCUUAGGUAAAUCCGGGGCCUUAUUAAUUCUGAGAUGUGAUGACGAUCUGCCUUUUAGGCAGAGAAGUAAUUGAUGCCACGCUUCCAAGAAAAGUCUCUAAACAUCAGAUAUCAUCAAACCGUACCGGAAACCGACACAGGUGGACAAGUAGAGAAUACUAAGGCGCUUGGGAGAACUCGGGUGAAGGAACUAGGCAAAAUAGCACCGUAACUUCGGGAGAAGGUGUGCCUCUGUAAGGUGAAAGUCUUAACGACUGGAGCUGAGAGAGGUUGCAAUAGUCAGGUGGUUGCGACUGUUUAAUAAAAACACAGCACUCUGCGAACUCGGAAGAGGAAGUAUAGGGUGUGACGCCUGCCCGGUGCUGGAAGGUUAAUUGAUGGGGUUAUCUUACUUCGGUAGGAGAAGCUCUUGAUCGAAGCCCCAGUAAACGGCGGCCGUAACUAUAACGGUCCUAAGGUAGCGAAAUUCCUUGUCGGGUAAGUUCCGACCUGCACGAAUGGCGUAACGACAGCCACGCUGUCUCCACCCGAGACCCAGUGAAGUUGAAUUUGCUGUGAAGAUGCAGUGUACCCGCGGCAAGACGGAAAGACCCCGUGCACCUUUACUAUAGCUUUGCACUGGACUUUGAGUUUUCCUGUGUAGGAUAGGUGGGAGGCAUUGAAGCUUGCGCGCUAGCGCAAGUGGAGGCACCCUUGAAAUACCACCCUGGAACACUUGGAGUUCUAACCUAGUCCCAUUAUCUGGGAUGGGGACAGUGCAUGGUGGGUAGUUUGACUGGGGCGGUCUCCUCCUAAAGAGUAACGGAGGAGCACGAAGGUACCCUCAGCGCGGUCGGAAAUCGCGCGUUGCGUGUAAGAGCGGAAGGGUGCUUGACUGUGAGACUGACGGGUCGAGCAGGUGCGAAAGCAGGUUCUAGUGAUCCGGUGGUUCUGAAUGGAAGGGCCAUCGCUCAACGGAUAAAAGGUACGCCGGGGAUAACAGGCUGAUACCGCCUAAGAGUUCAUAUCGACGGCGGUGUUUGGCACCUCGAUGUCGGCUCAUCACAUCCUGGGGCUGAAGCAGGUCCCAAGGGUAUGGCG